rnacentral:rRNA from 1 species
GACGAACGCUGGCGGCGUGCUUAACACAUGCAAGUCGAACGGAAAGGCCCUGCUUUUGUGGGGUGCUCGAGUGGCGAACGGGUGAGUAACACGUGAGUAACCUGCCCUUGACUUUGGGAUAACUUCAGGAAACUGGGGCUAAUACCGGAUAGGAGCUCCUGCUGCAUGGUGGGGGUUGGAAAGUUUCGGCGGUUGGGGAUGGACUCGCGGCUUAUCAGCUUGUUGGUGGGGUAGUGGCUUACCAAGGCUUUGACGGGUAGCCGGCCCGAGAGGGUGACCGGCCACAUUGGGACUGAGAUACGGACCAGACGCCUACGGGAGGCAGCAGUGGGGAAUAUUGCACAAUGGGCGGAAGCCUGAUGCAGCAACGCCGCGUGCGGGAUGACGGCCUUCGGGUUGUAAACCGCUUUCGCCUGUGACGAAGCGUGAGUGACGGUAAUGGGUAAAGAAGCACCGGCUAACUACGUG